rnacentral:tRNA from 1 species
CGGGGCGUAGCUCAGCCAAGUUAGAGUACACGUGUGUGGUGUGUGUGAGGGAGGCGGAAGUUCGAAUUUUCUCGCCCCGA